ACGAACGCUGGCGGCGUGCCUAAUACAUGCAAGUCGAGCGGACAGAUGGGAGCUUGCUCCCUGAUGUUAGCGGCGGACGGGUGAGUAACACGUGGGUAACCUGCCUGUAAGACUGGGAUAACUCCGGGAAACCGGGGCUAAUACCGGAUGGUUGUUUGAACCGCAUGGUUCAGACAUAAAAGGUGGCUUCGGCUACCACUUACAGAUGGACCCGCGGCGCAUUAGCUAGUUGGUGAGGUAACGGCUCACCAAGGCAACGAUGCGUAGCCGACCUGAGAGGGUGAUCGGCCACACUGGGACUGAGACACGGCCCAGACUCCUACGGGAGGCAGCAGUAGGGAAUCUUCCGCAAUGGACGAAAGUCUGACGGAGCAACGCCGCGUGAGUGAUGAAGGUUUUCGGAUCGUAAAGCUCUGUUGUUAGGGAAGAACAAGUGCCGUUCAAAUAGGGCGGCACCUUGACGGUACCUAACCAGAAAGCCACGGCUAACUACGUGCCAGCAGCCGCGGUAAUACGUAGGUGGCAAGCGUUGUCCGGAAUUAUUGGGCGUAAAGGGCUCGCAGGCGGUUUCUUAAGUCUGAUGUGAAAGCCCCCGGCUCAACCGGGGAGGGUCAUUGGAAACUGGGGAACUUGAGUGCAGAAGAGGAGAGUGGAAUUCCACGUGUAGCGGUGAAAUGCGUAGAGAUGUGGAGGAACACCAGUGGCGAAGGCGACUCUCUGGUCUGUAACUGACGCUGAGGAGCGAAAGCGUGGGGAGCGAACAGGAUUAGAUACCCUGGUAGUCCACGCCGUAAACGAUGAGUGCUAAGUGUUAGGGGGUUUCCGCCCCUUAGUGCUGCAGCUAACGCAUUAAGCACUCCGCCUGGGGAGUACGGUCGCAAGACUGAAACUCAAAGGAAUUGACGGGGGCCCGCACAAGCGGUGGAGCAUGUGGUUUAAUUCGAAGCAACGCGAAGAACCUUACCAGGUCUUGACAUCCUCUGACAAUCCUAGAGAUAGGACGUCCCCUUCGGGGGCAGAGUGACAGGUGGUGCAUGGUUGUCGUCAGCUCGUGUCGUGAGAUGUUGGGUUAAGUCCCGCAACGAGCGCAACCCUUGAUCUUAGUUGCCAGCAUUCAGUUGGGCACUCUAAGGUGACUGCCGGUGACAAACCGGAGGAAGGUGGGGAUGACGUCAAAUCAUCAUGCCCCUUAUGACCUGGGCUACACACGUGCUACAAUGGACAGAACAAAGGGCAGCGAAACCGCGAGGUUAAGCCAAUCCCACAAAUCUGUUCUCAGUUCGGAUCGCAGUCUGCAACUCGACUGCGUGAAGCUGGAAUCGCUAGUAAUCGCGGAUCAGC
rnacentral:rRNA from 1 species